AUUGAACGCUGGCGGCAUGCCUUACACAUGCAAGUCGAACGGCAGCGCGGGCAACCUGGCGGCGAGUGGCGAACGGGUGAGUAAUAUAUCGGAACGUGCCCUGGAGUGGGGGAUAACGCAGCGGAAGUUGCGCUAAUACCGCAUACGAUCUAAGGAUGAAAGUGGGGGAUUCGCAAGAACCUCAUGCUCCUGGAGCGGCCGAUAUCUGAUUAGCUAGUUGGUGGGGUAAAGGCCUACCAAGGCAUCGAUCAGUAGCUGGUCUGAGAGGACGACCAGCCACACUGGAACUGAGACACGGUCCAGACU
rnacentral:rRNA from 1 species